rnacentral:rRNA from 1 species
UACGUAGGGUCCGAGCGUUGUCCGGAAUUAUUGGGCGUAAAGGGCUCGUAGGCGGUUUGUCACGUCGGGAGUGAAAACUCAGGGCUCAACCCUGAGCGUGCUUCCGAUACGGGCAGACUAGAGGUAUGCAGGGGAGAACGGAAUUCCUGGUGUAGCGGUGAAAUGCGCAGAUAUCAGGAAGAACACCCGUGGCGAAGGCGGCUCUCUGGGACGGUACUGACGCUGAGACGCGAAAGCGUGGGGAGCGAACAGG